UAGGGAAUCUUCGGCAAUGGACGAAAGUCUGACCGAGCAACGCCGCGUGAGUGAAGAAGGUUUUCGGAUCGUAAAACUCUGUUGUUAGAGAAGAACAAGGACGUUAGUAACUGAACGUCCCCUGACGGUAUCUAACCAGAAAGCCACGGCUAACUACGUGCCAGCAGCCGCGGUAAUACGUAGGUGGCAAGCGUUGUCCGGAUUUAUUGGGCGUAAAGCGAGCGCAGGCGGUUUCUUAAGUCUGAUGUGAAAGCCCCCGGCUCAACCGGGGAGGGUCAUUGGAAACUGGGAGACUUGAGUGCAGAAGAGGAGGGUGGAAUUCCAUGUGUAGCGGUGAAAUGCGUAGAUAUAGGGAGGAACACCAGUGGCGAAGGCGGCUCUCUGGUCUGUAACUGACGCUGAGGCUCGAAAGCGUGGGGAGCAAACAGG
rnacentral:rRNA from 1 species